UGGUUCUGGCAUCGAUGAAGAACGCAGCGAAAUGCGAAAAGUAAUGUGAAUUGCAGAAUUCAGUGAAUCAUCGAAUCUUUGAACGCACAUUGCGCCCGCUAGUAUUCUGGCGGGCAUGCCUGUCUGAGCGUCAUUUCAACCCUCACGCCCCUAGGGCGUGGUGUUGGGGAUCGGCCAGCGCCCGCGAGGGCGAGGCCGUCCCCUAAAUCUAGUGGCGGACCCGUCGUGGCCUCCCCUGCGAAGUAGUGAUAUUCCGCAUAGGAGAGCGACGAGCCCCUGCCGUUAAACCCCCAACUUUCUCAGGUUGACCUCAGAUCAGGUAGGAAUACCCGCUGA
rnacentral:misc_RNA from 1 species